GAAAAAGAAAAAAAAGAAGAAAAAGAAAAAGAAAAACAAAAGGAAAGAUGGCGUAGUACCUCAAUUUUUCUCCUUCUUUUC
rnacentral:ribozyme from 13 species